AUUUAACGAUUAUGAGAGUAUCCAUUAUUCUGUAUACGGCACACGGGUUAGCUCUGCUGUAAAUAUAUGAGAUACUGUCAACAGUUAUAAGGUUAACUCGGUUAAAAUUAUAAAUAUAAUACAUUAAUGCCCUGUUACUGGAUUAGGCAUUUUUCAUAUUAUUAUUACGGGAGUAUAGGUAUUACGUAGUACGGUAUAACUACGAAGGUAGAGGUACAUUAUUGAUAUUUUUCAUUAGACAGACAUUUUUAUGAGUACCUAUCCGUUGUUCAUACAUUAUGACGGAGUUAUGUAACCUAAUCGUUUCGAUUUCGAUAUGAAGUACACGUACGUAUAGUAUAGGUGCCGAAGUGAAUAUAAUUGGACUUGUAGGUAAUUUUAUAAAAAUUGUA